UGUCUCCAAGCGGCACACUGUCUUUGCUUUCAAGCCUCGAGCGAUUUUUUGGAAUUUAUUCCCAGUUAAAAGUUGCGGCUGUAGUUGGUGCGUCAGCGCUCAAACUUGAGCACAAAGCAGGAGGGAGAGGGAGAGAGAGCUAGAGAAAUCGAGGCAGCAAGGAAGGAGAGAGAGAGAGGGAGCGAGAGGAGCGGUCCCCUGUUCCUUUGUCUGAUGCGGGUCGCUUUGAGGAGAGAACUUGAGGGGGAUGCUCACACACGCAUCUCCAUAACGCUCAUUAACACUCAACUUGUGCUACUUAGAAGCAAUUGUCAGGGAGCUUUCAUGGAGUUGAGGAAGAGUUUGUGGGGUUGCUGUAUUUUUUUGUCUCUCGAGGAUGUUGCGACACAAGACAAAGCCUGUCAGAAGUUUGCGGAGGAAAGGACCUUUUUACGUACGCGAGAAAAAUCACAGUUGGCUGAUGGAUAGUUUGUAAAUACUUCUUUUUUCCUUCUUAGUGCAGUAGUUUUAUGACUGUUGUGUUUACGUUCUUGCGAAGUUGUCUUUCUGCACUAUGGGAAUUCCGCGCAGUGCAAUCAGGUGUAAAGUCUCCAAGAAACAAGAAACGGUGGGAAUUUAAGCAAUUUAACCAGUACAGUGCUUGCUUCUGAUGGAUUAAGAAAAUAAAAAAGAUGUGUAGAAAAAAAAACACAUGGAAGAUGUACAGAUUCACCUAUCAAGCCAUUUUUAAGAUGAAAUGAAGGAUUAAGAGACUGUUCACUUUUCUUCUGGAUGAACAUGAAGACUUAUCUCAUGAGGAUUUAGACUUCAGCAGCAGCAGCGCCAGUCGGAUUGUGUUUUAGGCACACUUGGAAAUCUAAACCUCAUGGAGAUACUUUGAGGAUUAUAAAAGAUGUGCAUGUAGAAUGCCACAAUACAAGACGCGUCCUGGGCCAAAGUCCUUGGGAUAGCAGGAUAUUGCUUUCCUGAUCCUUCUCAGAAUGGGGAGUGUGGGAGUGGUGAGGUCUGGGAGAUCACGACCUUAAUUCUCUCCAAGACAGACGGUUUAAUUAACACUGGAAGAAUCCUCACUGACUCCAGACCUCUACAGUGAGAAUGUACAGGGGAAUUGGCUUGCCAAGGUCCUCUUGGCCAUAGACUGAAAUGCUGACAGACGAUGCCCAUGAAUGAUGAAUGAUGACUGGAGGUCUGUCUGGUGCCAGCAGAAUGCAUAAUACAGCAUCGAUACAGCAAUCGCAGUCCUCCUCAGCAGAAACAUGGUGCAGUUUCUGUAUCACAUUAUUGGAAGAUUUGCCCCAAGCAGGACAGCAGGACCACUCAAAGUGGAAAUCAACCGCAAUGUUGAAUGUUGUUUCGGUUGGAGUCCUAAAUGAAGCAGCAUUACAAAGAGUUUUCUGGCCACUUUCAUUGUAGUCCACAUAGCAAGAAGACCACCUCAUAGGGAUUUUCCUCUUCACCAGGUGUGUCAGAGUGAGGCUCAGUGGGAAAGAUUGCUGUGUCUCGACAGGAGUGUGAGGUGCAGAUCUACACAGAAGCUUACAGGAAACUGAAGAAGACGGGUGAGGUUAAAGAGGACAGCACGAUGGAAAAAACAAGAAUGAAAGCAGCCAGUGAUAAAUAUUAACUUUUGUGAAACAUUUUGAGCAUUUGCAUCACUAAAAGUCCUCAUAUAUAGCUCUUUGUCAUUGCCUUAAACUGCUAGAAUUUGAUUUUAAAAAUACGGGUAUCAUGUAGCGGUUCGAGUUAGAAGCUGGGAAUAUGCAAUCACAUCUGUAAGAGUUACAUUUCGCAGCUCAUUGUAUCUCUGACUGCAAAAUAAAGUUUGAUAACAAUCUGUUUUUGUGUUAUUAAUAUGUUGUAUGGAAAUAAAGAAAAAAAAACAAUGAAAGCACUUUUUAAAUGCUUUUUUGUAAAUCUGUUUUUUAAAAAAAACAAUAUGUCUGCACAAGGGCCUGUAAUUAAAAGGGAAAAGAGCCUCAGUGUGGCAUUUCCUGUAUGCUAUAGGAACAUCACUGUGGAUUUUAUGUGAAACAUUCAGAAGUGGUGGAUGUCACAACAAUCAUAGCCACUAACCUGUGCUAGUCUGGUAAAACACGCUAAAAGCCCGUUGAUGUCGAGUCCCUUACUGGGAUGAAAGUCACUAUUGUUUCUGUCUCUGUGCGCACGCCUGUGUUUUUGUGCGUGUGUGCACAUGUGUGUUUGUCUGCCCUUACACUGAUCUGAAGAGAAAGUAGUUUCAAAGGGAGCGACUCACAUGUAAUAACAUGCACUCGGCAAGUGACAAUCCACAUGCACACACACACACAGGUGAAAGGUGACAAAAUUCCGUCUUUAUAUCUUUACAUUGCAAAUUCUUUGUUGAACAGUGUAUCUAGGAAAAGUUCCAACACAACAGUGUAUUCACAUAUAUACUCUCUAUAUAUGUGCAUUUUAACUCUCAAGAAGUAGCUUUUACAAUUUAACCACAAGGGAACAAAUACUACAUUAAGAACAUCUAUUCAUACAAUAUGUAAAACUCUGGAGAAGUAUGUCCAGCACUGCAAAACAUCUAAAGACUUCCACUUUCAUCGUCACAACAUAGAUUAUCAAUGAAUAUUGCAUUGUUUUGAGAAAAAAAUCUAAAAUAACAUAAAGAACUUUAAUGAUCACUCAGGAGACUUGUGAAAAUAUGAAGCUUUACUUUUCAUAUGAGAAUACCAGCAGUCUGGGAAUGCUCAGAGGUACAGAAUCAAGUGCCUCUUCCUCUGCUUUCAGAGAGAAAAGAGAGAAGAGAGGUAAUUAUUUUUCCUUCCACAUCUGCAUCUUAAAGCUCUUUAAAUAGUUUAGAGUUCAGCAGCUCGCUACAGUAUGCUGCGAUAAUGAUGGUGGUGACUUUAGAUGAAAAAUAUCUCACGUCUGUAAUUUGAUUUGAGUUUGAUCGGAGGUGACUUUUAACUCAUAGGGUAGGGAAACCUAGGCGUAGGCUUGCUUUUACAAUAUGCUUAUUGACCAGUUCUUUAUCCUCAUAGGGCCAAUAUAAAAACAACAAGUUCAUAUCGCAGUACCAAAUAUGAAGUCAAAAAUCCCUAUACUAUAAAAUGCUGCAGCAGGCUCCUACUCAGCGCAGCGCCAUGGCAACUCAACGUACAAUUUUAUGUCAAUCCAUCCAGAAGUUCUUUAGAGGUUCUUUAGCUACAUCAUCCUGUCCCAUAACUCCACUGCCAUGGCUAAAGAGUAGAAAAAAAGUGUUUUUAUAUAAGAAUGUCCAUUUUCAGCCAGCAUAGAGCAUGUGAAAUACCAGAGCAGGGUUCGCUAUAGGGACGAACUUCGAGGCCGACCUAUCUUUCUCCUUCUAUCUUUGCAUGCGGUUACUAACACCAGCUUCCCUCGUCACAUGCGACCCCCCGCCUCACUUGUUCACCCACCAUAUUUUCCACCUACAGUUUAUCACACUUCCUCUUCUUCUGCUCAAGGCCCCUAGUCUGUCUGCCAGACAGGAAAAACAAAGACUUUGGGACUAUCAUUACGGUCCAAAUGGUAUAUUACACUGUACCAUUGAACGGUACCUCAUUGAAUAUUCAGUAGUGUUACACAGUAUCUAUUUAAGAAAAACUAAAAUAAAUUCAUUAGAUACUUAGGAAGUUAUGGACAUAAUUUAAGUUAGCUUUCAUCUGUGUCCUCAUUCAUGCAAACUGGUAUUUGAAACACGAGCUGUGCUUUAAACUUUAAUUUAAUUUGGUAAAGAGCCGAGAAACACAGCCGACUUAUUAGAUGAACACACGUACAAGCACGCAUGUUUAACUGCACGCAAGGUGUCAGUUGAAUUGCUGUCCUUGUUUCACAGUUUCAGGCCAAGAAUGAAACUAUUUGAGGACAAAACUCACUAAUGUUUAAAUUACAUGCUUGACAUCAAAUAAUUAUCAAAUAAAAUAAGUAGGGCAACAGCUAUAUUUACCCUAUCACAUGAAUUUAUUCCAAAACCGGAAUGAUUUUAUUGAAGUUUUAUGUUUUGUUGGUCAAUACCUCUCACUACGUAAUUGCAAUUUAUUAAUUAAUUUAAAAAAAUGUCACCAGUACAUAUUUUCAGGCUUAAAUAAUUGUAAGAGACAAUUAAGUGUGUAAUAGUAUAUUAUGACUGCUAUGUCCAAUUAAUUGCUGGAAUGUAUCUUUUUCCACUUGUUAGCUGCCAUGACUGUUUUUUUUCCCUCUUAUGUACCUCAGCCAGGAUGUGCACAAGUCUGCCAGCCGUUAACCCCACAGAGGAAGUGUGCAGGAAAUGAGAUCAGCCUUAAACAGAGGUAACGCCUAAGCCUGAACCACUGACACCAGACCAAUAACUGUCACUCAUUGCACCUGAUGCAGAGAUACUAAAAAUGUAGCAAAUAACAGGAAAGUAACAGAAAGUAACAGUAACAGAACAGAACAGAAACGAUCAACACAGCAGAGCCAUCAAAGAGAAAAGCAAAUCAUAUGAAAGAAAACUAGAACUGAACUUAAAGAAGGCAUGGGCUUGAAAAGACAAUGAGAUCAGAUCAAAUUUAGCAGAAGAGAACAGAGAAAAGAAAGAUGUGCAGCUUUUAGAAUCACACAUAUUCUGGUAAAAAAGAUAACAGUGUUAAAGUUAGGCUGAAUCUAUGCGUGACCAAGACUACAUUGUUGCAUUUUGCUUUACAAGGCAACAGAAUAGACUAAAACAUUACAGCCAAGACCACAUUAAAACGAAACAGCCCCAUGAUGCUCAGAAGAAAGAAGAAAAUUACUUGUAUUAACUUUUAGAUAUAAUAUAUUUGGAAAAUAUGAUGUUUCAAUAGCUAAAAAUACCAAUUCUGUGGGCAAACUCAUACAGUAACUGCUGCUACGGCCUGUACGUAUUCUUGUUACCAUGAUGAAAAACACAUUUCGAAACUUCACAGAGGAAACCAGGCCUGGCAGUACUGUGUGCGCACAUGUGGAUGUGAGUAUAUGUUGUGCAUUUCUAUACACUGAUCUCAGCACGCACAUCAGUGCACAUCAGAAUGAAAAAGAAAACACUGCAUUUUUUUUUCAUUGAGCGCACAGACAGGAAGAAGGAGCAACCAUGUACACUAUAUCCAAGCACAACAACUUUUUUUUCUCCUUGAGGUGCAAUACACAACUGCAGUUAGCAGAAACCUGCUUUGUUAUGCUAAGUUUAUGUUCUAUUUUCAUUAAACCCCUGCAUAAAUUUGUCAGUUUUUUUAAAGUGCCCGAAUAUAUACAAACUGAAUAUGACGUAGAGAAACUGUUCGUACGGCUGCUGGCCACACUGUUGUGAUGGGUGCUUCCUCCAAACAAGCAUGCAUGGCUUCGCUGGGAUGCUCAAUCUUGGCUCGGCAGCCCUUGAAAAUGGAGCUCCCGUUGAACGCUACCACCAAGUGCAAAGUUUGCGCAGUUAUUUGAUUUUUGAAUGCAAAAGGUGUUAAACCAGUUGAAAUUCAUCGCCACUUGACAGAAGUGUAUGGACAAUCAUGCAUAGAUGUGAAAAAGGUUUGUUCCCUAAGUUGAAAGAGCAUUUGUCCGGAAGGCGAUUCUGCUCCGACGAAGAGGUCAAAGAUGACGUUCAAUGCUUACUGAAGGACAUGGCAGCAAGCUGGUAUGACAUGGGCAUUCUAAAACUGCCACAGCAUCUACAAAAAUGCUUCGACCGAAAUGGUGAUUAUGUAGAAAAGAAAAUAAUUCUUCAGCCUUAAAAAUCAUGUAGAUAUUAUAGAAAGUAAACAGAGUGAUUUUCUAACGAAGACCUUGCUUUUGGGAUUCCCUUCGUAUAUCAGAGACUCUGCAGUUGUCAAUCACUUUCUUAUUUACUUCAUAACUUAGUUGCUUGAACUGCUCACCGAUCCAUCUGCUUGACCGUGUAGUGGCGCAUGUUUGAAUAUUUGUUGAAGAGCAGCUUUUGUAUUAAAGCCACUCUUUUCGAAUAAAAGAUACCAGAUAAGUAAUGUAUGCAUGACCCUUUACUCAAACAUAAUGAGGUCCAUUUUGUACUUAAGGGCCAUUAAAAGUACUUAGUAAAAUUUAGAAAUGUUAAUCUCUGUCUGCAGAUGGGACUCUUUGUCAGACAGAAACUUGCCUCGAUGAAAAAAUAGCCAAAUGCAGCAGGAGUUAUGAAUAAUAAUAGUGUAACAAAAAUAAUACUAAUGUUUCAUAGCUGUGAACUGUCACCUGACCGAAAAAUAUAAUUAACAUAUGGUGAUCUUCAAGGCUUUGUAACACAUUACGUGAUUCAAUGAGUGACUGAUGAAGCGGGUAAAUAUACGAACAAAUAAAUGAAUAGGUAAUGAAAUGAUUAAUUAUUUAAUUAGUUAAACAAACCAAGCAAGCGUCAGACACUAACAAUGCUCAAAAGCAUCAUUAUCAUACCUGCAUAAUCACACCCUUGCA